CUUUCUAUAAUUACUUUUUGUAUAGAAUUCACUAGUUGAUUCCAUCGACUCGUUCAAGCACCAGCUCGAAGAAGCUUAGCUAAUUUAUCUUAGAAAAUAAUGAAAAAGCUAUGCUUCUCAAGAAGGUGCAUGAACAAGUUGAUGUAUAUUUUGAUGUGUAAAGACCAAAAUUGGAUCUCACAUGUG